rnacentral:rRNA from 1 species
CCUACGGGUGGCAGCAGUGAGGAAUAUUGGUCAAUGGCCGAGAGUCUGAACCAGCCAAGUCGCGUGAAGGAUGACUGCCCUACGGGUUGUAAACUUCUUUUGUCUGGGAACAAAGCGAGUCACGUGUGGCUCAUUGUGAGUACCAGAAGAAAAAGCAUCGGCUAACUCCGUGCCAGCAGCCGCGGUAAUACGGAGGAUGCGAGCGUUAUCCGGAUUUAUUGGGUUUAAAGGGUGCGUAGGAGGAUUGUUAAGUCAGCGGUAAACGGUGGGGGCCAAACACCGGCUUGCAGUUGAAACUGGGCGUCUUGAGUGCGCGAGAGGUAUGCGGAAUGCGUGGUGUAGCGGUGAAAUGCUUAGAUAUCACGAAGAACUCCGAUUGCGAAGGCAGCAUACCGGCGUGCAACUGACGCUGAGGCACGAAAGCGUGGGGAUCGAACAGGAUUAGAUACCCUUGUAGUC